UGAGGAAUAUUGGUCAAUGGACGCAAGUCUGAACCAGCCAUGCCGCGUGGAGGAUGAAGGCCUUCUGGGUUGUAAACUUCUUUUAUCGGGGAAGAAAAUUAUGGUUUCUACUAUAACCGACGGUACCCGAGGAAUCAGCACCGGCUAACUCCGUGCCAGCAGCCGCGGUAAUACGGAGGGUGCAAGCGUUAUCCGGAUUCACUGGGUUUAAAGGGUGUGUAGGCGGGUAUUUAAGUCAGUGGUGAAAUCUCUGAGCUCAACUCAGAAACUGCCAUUGAUACUAUUUAUCUUGAAUAUCGUUGAGGUUGGCGGAAUAUAUCAUGUAGCGGUGAAAUGCAUAGAUAUGAUAUAGAACACCGAUUGCGAAGGCAGCUAACUAAGCGAUGAUUGACGCUGAGGCACGAAAGCGUGGGGAUCAAACA
rnacentral:rRNA from 2 species